UUGGGGAUGAGGAGGUCUCCUCAGGAGUAACCGCGGGCCUGAGCCACGGUCACGCCACUGUCCUUCGUUUCCUUUAGCCUUCUCGCUCACCAAAAGAUUUUCCCGUCCAGUUAUAAAGUGCAAGUUGUUUCCCAAAGGGAUUACUCUUUGGAUCAACACCUGUAGGAAAUGAGCUGCGCUGCAUCCCAGCCGACCCCACAGCUGAGAUGGAGCAGUAGCAACCAGAUGUACCUUCCCCAGCUGAAACAACUAAAAAGACAAGACAAAAUAGAUGAAAGAAUGGUUCUUGAGACACUGGACACCACACAGUGAAGAACAGCGAUCCCUGGGAGAGGAGA